rnacentral:rRNA from 1 species
UACGGAGGGGGCUAGCGUUGUUCGGAAUUACUGGGCGUAAAGGGCGCGCAGGCGGCUGCUCAAGUCAGGCGUGAAAGGCCUGGGCUCAACCCGGGAAUUGCGCUUGAGACUGGGCUGGCUUGAGUGCGGGAGAGGAUGGUGGAAUUCCCAGUGUAGAGGUGAAAUGCGUAGAUAUUGGGAAGAACACCUGAGGCGAAGGCGGGUUGCUGGGCCGACACUGACGCUGAGGCGCGAAAGCCAGGGGAGCAAACGGG